GAGGAACCGUGCGAACGUUAUUCGGAAUCACUGGGCUUAAAGAGCGCGUAGGCGGCAUGUCAAGUCGGAGGUGAAAUCCCAACGGCUCAACCGUGGAAUAGCCCCCGAUACUGGCGUGCUUGAGGGAGGUAGGGGCAUCUGGAACUUCCGGUGGAGCGGUGAAAUGUGUUGAUAUCGGAAGGAACGCCAGCGGUGAAAACGAGGUGCUAGAACUCUUCUGACGCUGAGGCGCGAAAGCUAGGGUAGCGAACGGG
rnacentral:rRNA from 1 species